GCAUCCAUGGCUGAAUGGUUAAAGCGACCAACUCAUAAUUGGUAAAUUAUUGGUUCAAUUCCUGCUGGAUGCA
rnacentral:tRNA from 1 species